GGUGCAUGGGUCUGAGAUCUGUGCACCACCUGUGAUGCUAAACAAGCCCUUUUCUGAGCUUCACUCUUCAUUCAGCUCUGUGCCAUGCCCUUUCUGUCCAUCAGAAUUGUUUAAAGCAUGUGCCUUUGGGGCAGAGCUUCUCUUUCUUUGACACUCCUGACUCAUUCUUGCAAGUUUAUAUAUGUUGUUGUUUUUGGGAGUAACUGGCAAUAAAUAAUGCUUUUAGUCAAGGCUCUUAAAACUUGUACCUGAACCUCAAAACACCUUUGAGUUAUCUGUGCAAUGCAUACCAUUGCUCAUGAUUUACAGGUAGGGGAACCACGGCACAGAUAGGGCAGCAUAAAGCGAAGUAAACAAAAACCAAAUCCCCCCCAAACAAACAAAAAGCCCAAUGCUAGAUUGUAUUUUGGGGUGAUACGACAUAUGAGACACAUUUCCUCCCAGGAAUCCCGGGUCUCAGUACACCUGGCUGUAGGCAAAUGGAGAAAGUCCUGAACAGACUAAAAGGAAAUACCUCUUCCAUCUAGAAAAUGUGUUUAGGAAAAGGAGAUUUUUAUCUUGUGCCUCUUGUUUCAGAUUAGAGUUGAACAAGCUUCUUCCUUCUCAAGACACAGGGUUCCUGUGAGCAGCAGAACAAAAAAUAUCAUGGGGGAAAAAAAACAAACAAACAGCCCUUGAAUUCCAAAAAUACCGGCUCUUUUCAGAGUAAGAUUUAAAUGCAAGAAGACAAUUUCUCUUACAGAGUUUUUCCUGUCACUCAGAGUCCCCUCGCUGGAAACAAGCAGCCGAUUUAAAAAGAUAUUGGAAGAACAGCUUGGACACAGAAAGGAAUGACCUCGAGUCUUAAAAAACAGACAAGCUUUUCAGUGGCUUGAAUCUUGGAACAAGACGCUAAAAGUCAUAUAAGGGCAGUAAGGUUUGGGGCAUUCUUGUUACCUAAAAAAUAACCAGUUUUGGCUUCUCUCAUUAGUAUCGCUGCUUGGGGAUUAAGUUAACUGUUUUGUGGGGAAGCUGGAUGCAAAUUUGAAGCUGUGGUGGCAAGUUUUCUUGACUGUGUAAGGGUCAGGAUGACCUACUGGUUAGGUUAUUUGAGGGCUGGUGUUCCUGAGCCCUCUUUGUCUGGAAUCCAGACAGGCCUUCCUGUUGGGAAACACUGACCUGCUUCUUCAGAGGCUGAGGCAAACAACAUACUAGCUCCUACUCUAGAGGGACAGCAGAGGUAGUUAACUAUUUCCAUUUAAUGCUACAACCAUGUGCUGGCUUCUUGAGGUAGCAACAUCAGAAGCUGUAUUUAUUUUUAUUGAGACAGUCCUGGCUCUUGCAUGAUUUUAGGAGUUGAUGUUGGGGCUUUUUGAAAAGCAAAGGAUUGCUUUUGCUGUCUGUGGCUCCUGAGGACUGAGUAUGCCCUGGCCAGCUCAGGAUGCUCAUGUGGAAGGGAUGGGGACACCAGCAGUGUCCAGGGACCCAACUUCAUCCACAGGAUGAGGGGGAAAGUAUGUAAUGCUUCAUAGCAUUUCCUUAAAAAAAAAAAAAAAAAAAAAAAAAAAAAAAAAAAAGCUUGUGUCUGAAGCCAUGCAUUUUAUUCACAGUAAAGAAACCCAGUUCAAAAUUCUCUUUUUGGAACAGAAAUAGAGCAAGGGCCCUAAUGUCAUGCCAUACAUCAUUGCAGCAAUGCAUGGAAAUGACUUUGCAACUUUGGCAUGCUGGUAAGAGUCUAAGUUAGGAGCACUUUCUUUGUUGUGUCCAUUAGGUAGCAGUCUGGAAAAUGAGGAAAAGGAUGCAGAAGGCAUUUUGUGUCACCAUUUUGUGUCAAGCUGCCCAAAAAUCCCAUAGUGCUGGCUGAUAGAAUAGCUCGUCCUCUGUUCUCCCACACAUGCCCUGCGCAGGGGCACAAGCAGAUGGAGAGACUGCCUUCAAUGAUUUUUCGCUUGUUUGUUUUGGAUUGUUAUCUUUAUGGUAUUUGAAUGGGACAUUCCUUUCACCUCCUGUUCCUCAUACACCCUUGGGACAAUUUAAAGGGAUAAAAAAAAUCACCUAUAUAAAAAUUUGUAUAUAGAGAGCCUAUAAAUUCUAUGGAUGACUAUAUAGGGUCUUACAUAUACAUUUAGUAGUUGUAUCAUAUCUAAUUUUCUCUGCGUGUGUGAAAAGCAUAUGUGUACCUAUCACAAAAUAUAAAUGCAUAAUAAAGCGCUAUAUAUCACAGCUAGCUAGAAGGGCUUUUAACAAGAGGUGUUUGUGAAGUACUCUUUGUUAUGGCUACACCAACCUUGACUAUCCCAACUGUGAUGAACUGAAGCUGAAGAAACCUUUAUACCACACAGUAUUUUCCAGUUAAUUAUAUAUAUUUGUACAUCUGGGCGUGUGUGUGUUGACAAGUGAGAUCAUCCAUUCCUGUGAGGCUUUUUUCGUCCUAUCCAGAACAUUUUUCCUCUCCCUAAUUCCCCUCCAGGAGCUUAACAACAACAACAGAGCCAAAAGCCUUACCUCCGGUCCGGUGUCUGCAGGCCAGUGUUUGCUCCACAAGCAAGGCUCCUGGCCGUAGGCUCAGGGCACCCCGGUGGUGCUGAGCCCAAGAAUUGAUCCAGCUCAAGUCUGCUGAGUUUCCAGGCUCAGAUAACAUGAGAUGUAUUCAGGCCAGCCUGGCUGCUGGCCAUGUUCUGGCCAGGAUGAGGAAAACAGGAACCAGGAAAACAAAUGUUUUUCUUUUCUUUUUGUAUGUGUUUCAGUAAGAGAGAACCAUGACAAAGAAAAGCUCUAGAUUUUGGGGUUCUGGUUCAUCCUGCAUCCCAUAAGGGGUGUGCAUUCAAGGGUCUGGCUCACCCUUAAUUCAAACAGAGCUGUUUUCGAGUAUUUUUGUUUGAGGAAUUAUAUUUUAGAACUUGCUUAAAAGUUUUUGGGUUAUUUUUGUUUGCUUUUUUAAAUUUUUUUUUUCUUCUCGUGUUUUCUUGGAUCAGAAGGUUCAUUGAGAUGCCAAACUAUGGCUGGCUACAACUUCAGUACAUCUUGUAACAAUGCAGGCCAUGACAUGCCGGAGUGAUGGAGCAUGGUUUAUCACAUCUCCCUGGACAGAAGCGGGGGCUGUGAAGAUGGUCUGAAUUUCAGGAGAGCUCACCUGCCUCUGAGGGACUCAGGGUCCCACGAGGCACGAAUCAUCCAGGAGGCCAGAGCUGGGAAGCAGACCUGAGGCUUAGGAGGUGGAGCCCCUGAUUUCUAUUCCUCACCAUGACACUACCACAUGAAGUGACCUUGGACAAGUCUCCUCACUGCU